CCUCUGGAUGACAAAGAGAUGAUUUCGUACAUCCUGACCGGCCUCGACUACGACUACACUCCCCUCGUGUUGGCUCUUGUGUCGCGAGUGGAGCUAAUCUCAGUAAGCGAGCUAUAUGCUCAAUUGCUGAGUUUUGAUG